rnacentral:rRNA from 1 species
UACGAAGGGUGCAAACGUUGCUCGGAAUUAUUGGGCGUAAAGCGCACGUAGGCGGCUAUCUAAGUCGGAUGUGAAAUCCCUCGGCUUAACCAAGGAAGUGCACCCGAAACUGGAUAGCUUGAGUACAGAAGAGGAUCGCGGAAUUCCCGGUGUAGAGGUGAAAUUCGUAGAUAUCGGGAGGAACACCAGUGGCGAAGGCGGCAUCCUGGACCGGCAUUGACGCUGAGGAGCGAAAGCUAGGGGAGCAAACGGG